AAAGAUGGCUGGCAGACCAGAGUGAAGAAAAAUGUGAAGAAGCCAAGACAUGAAUUAUGCAAACCAGGUGAAUACCACAAGCAGUCUUCAUCUGAGACACUUGGAGCUCCUCCAGGGAACACAGGUCACUUUCCCUGGUCAGCCAUCGAUCAGAUCACCUUGGGGAAUGGAAUAUUCAACAUUUUAAAACCAGCUAUCAUUGCUGAAGCAAAAAGUUGGCUCCAGUAUGAAUUUGCAACUGCAGAUUUGUAAAGAAAACAUACAUACAGUAUCACUGAGACAAGUGUACUGCAGGCAGUGAGGCACUGGACAGAGACAGGUUUCUUGGGUUUUAAAAAUAGAUUCUUGGCAAAUCCAGGUCUAGUCCUGGCAACACAGCCACAGAUUGCAGGAGUGAAACUGGGCCCAGGCCAGCAGUGUGGCACAGCCAGCUAAACUCCAUGGCCUUUGAAACUGAGGUCUGAAUUUUGCUGCUUGUGGCCAUCUCUACACGCAUACAGACUCUUUGGUCUUCUGUGUCUGUGCUGCCUCUGGCUCACCCUAGCUACAUGCAGGCCUUUGUUCUGGCUUUUGGCCUUCAUGCUCUUCAUCUCAGACUGCCGCUUCACCCCUGCUCCAGGAUGCUUCCCAGGUAUUUAAUGGCCAUGUUUUCACAGCUGCCCAUUAUCCCUAUUUUGCAGAUACAUGACUAAAAUCCAUGAAAGAAAUGUGAGAUUAAGCUAGAAAUAACAUUUUUAAUAUUCAUUAUCCCCGUCUAACAUACCAAGCACCUCCCCACUAUAUGUCUACUAUAUGUUUGGGUUCCCCACAUAUGUGUACUGUGUGUUUGGGUUUCCCAGGUGGCCUCUAUCAAGCCUGGAAGUGUGAUCUGGAUGAAUUUUGGACGCUGAAGAGGGCUUUCUUCAGGCAGGCCAGUCUCAUUAGCUUUUGCUGGGCACCUGUAAAUCUUGCAUGCAGCCACUGCGCAUACUAUAAUAUCCUGUACUCAGAUAUGUACAGUAAAUCUGACUGUACCAUCUGGCCCAUUGAAUAACAGACAUCUAAAUUGACACGUUGGAUAUACAUGGAGAAGAAUUAGGACAUACUGAACACUGCCCUACUCUGGCAUGACCACUGAAAGUAUAGUCUAGUCCAGUUAGAAUGGCCUUUAGUUUAGGCCCCUAAUUUAUCCUUGAGAUGGGAUCUUUGUUUCUGAAGUUGCCAAUCCAGGUGAUUAAGUGUGAGUGUGUAUGUAAUGAUUCAGGAAUUGCAUGAAAUAUUCUUCUAACCUAAGUAAAGGAAUCAGCUUUGACUAGAACCUAUAUACAAAAUUUUACUAAGACAAGGCACAUUUCCCAAAUAACUUUAUGCCUUCCUACGCAAAGGUCUAUUAACUCAGUAAUACAGGUUAUGAAAAUGUUGAGAAUUUAAAUGCAUUAUUAUACCUGUAUAUUUUUGUGAACAUUUGUGCUAAUAGAAUUCCGAGUGUUCAGCAAUGAGGUCCAUUUCAAAAGCAUGUGAAUACUCAUUAGUGGUUUUUUGUGUUAUUCUUCUAGCUCUUCUUUGGUACAAAGUUUAAACAACAGGAUUAGUACUCAGAAGACACUAAUUAGGGCAUUCUAAAGCUGCUGUAUAAAUUACACACCAUUUUACAUGCUGAAGUAUACUAGUUUCAGAAAGAACUCUAGACAUUCUGCUGCUGUUAAUAACACACCUAACUUUUAAUCCGUUAGUUUUUAUAACAGUACCAGAACGCUAAGAAACUGCCCUUUUUUGUGUGGCUUGGCGAUGUUUGCCCCAAACAUGUUUUUUGCUUACAGAAAUAUCUGCUACAGACACUGCAUCAAAGUGCCAGAGAAAUGUGAGUCAUUUUCUGAUAUCUAGAAAAAUCUGGAUGACUUGGACAAGGAAGCACAUCCUGCCAACAUGACUAUAGCUACAGCAGUCAACAGGUUUAGUACAUUUUAUUCCUCUUUUACUUGAUUAGCUAUAGAGUUUAUACUUUGUCCUCUGUGGAUCAAAUACCUAAACAAGUUUUGACAUUCCAAUGUUAUUCUAGCCAACACGCUUUUAACAAUUUCAUAGGGGAAUAAAAGUGCUUAAAAGGGACUGUUUGAUAGCCCAGUGAUUCUGCAAACAGCAAGUGGGACAAGUGGACAGAGGUGAUAUUUCCUCUUCUUUCAAUUGGUUUUGGUUUCUCCUUAACUAGCCUGUUUAUCACAAGUCACAUCAUUCAGUGGAGAUUGCAGGUCCCUGUACUUGCAGAAUUUUGUGUAGUUGGUGUGGUUUGGGGUUUUCUUCAGAUUAGGAAUAAAUCACAAGUCAUCUCGAUUUUCACCAUCAGCACUGUUUUAUCUGUGAUGAUGGACUUCCUGCCUCUGGCCUUCAGCUUAAACACAUUUGAAAGUACGAAGAAGGUGGCUCCCCAGGGGCUUAGUUGUCUCAACAAUCUAAAUGGAUGAAAUGUACUGCAACUGUUCAGCUGGGCUCAUAUGGAAGGUGGCUUCCAGG